CAUCAAACCAGAAUCUGCCUUGUGUUUGUCUGCCCAGCGUGAGGCUGUGACCACAGUUUAUCUCCUCACAUCCACCACAGUCUCCGGGAGGGAACUGACCUACAUUUUCAAUUGCGUGUUUUACGUGGCAAGUCACAGGGACACAAAGAGUGUGAAGCAUCGACUGAAGGACUAAAAUUCAAGCUGGCACAGCAACACUCAUCUAUGCCUUAUCACUGUCGCUCAUUUUUUAGACAUCAUUUUCUUGCAAGACUCUACUCUCCCCAUCCUAAACCUCAAAGCUGUACCAGUGAUGUUUUCCUGCAUGUUCCCUAGGCUCACAUAUCAGUAGCAGGCAGAUGUGGAUGAAGGUAUAGACAUUAGUGACUUGCCUGCCCUGAUGGGUUCCGACAAGGAUGAGAAGUGAAUAGAUGACCCCUUCCUGUCUCUCCUACACUCCAGUCUGCUGUACCUCCCAGCACCUCAACCUCCAAUAUUCAGCCUAAGCUGCCGUCAUCACCACUACCACCUCAGCCUUCCAGUGUGCUCAGUGUCUUCCCGAUUCUGGUUGUUACAUCACACGCAUGUGUUGAUGGAUCGCCGGCUCGAUGUUGAAGUGAGACUGCCAGUUCAUCUCCUUAGAUCUCCCGGUCCAGGGCUUUCCUCUCAGUAUUUUGUCCUGCAAAAAACUUGCUGCCUUGAUCUCCUUGGACUCAACUUUGUUUCAAGUUAGGUAGUCUGUGAAUUCUGCCUGGGUUCGCUGUCCCUGGGGCAGGAUCUGGAAACUCUCUCAAGGCAAUAAGUUGUGGCAGUUGGAGAGUUCACAUUGUUUCCAGUCUCUCAGGAUGACUGCUGUACAGUUUCAUGUCUGGAAAGUCUUUGUUUCAUUUAUUUUGUUUGUUUGUGGAUUGUUUCAGGUGGGAGAGUAAAUCUGAUCACUGCUACUUCAUCUUGGCCAAGAAUGGAAGGGUCUGAAUUUUAAUUUUAUUUACAUAUAAUUAAUUUAUACUUAAAUUCCUAUAGCCCCUAUGAUGAGUGUCAUCUGAACUUCACAACACAGCUUUCGAUGCUUUGAGAGUGCUCUGUAGUCUAAGUCUGACCACACAGCAGGUUUUAUCUUCCUCCCGGGAAGUCACAGGGUGAAAGUCCCUCCAUAAAGGCUGCUGAAAUGAGCAUUUCCCAUACUUUUUUUGGCUCUAGAAACAUUUCAUUAUGUGAUAGCUGUUAACAUCCUGUGAAGUUCUGUUUUGCAG
rnacentral:lncRNA from 1 species